rnacentral:rRNA from 1 species
GGGGGUGUACGAGGAGCUCGCGGCCUAUCAGGUAGUUGGUGGGGUCACGGCCUACCAAGCCAUUGACGGGUAGCUGGUCUGAGAGGAUGGCCAGCCACAUUGGGACUGAGAUACGGCCCAGACUCCUACGGGAGGCAGCAGUGGGGAAUAUUGCGCAAUGGCCGCAAGGCUGACGCAGCGACGCCGCGUGGGGGAUGAAGCAUUUCGGUGUGUAAACCCCUGUUGCUCGGGACGAACAGCGCUUUUCGAGUGGUCUGACGGUACCGGGUGAGGAAGCACCGGCUAACUCCGUGCCAGCAGCCGCGGUAAUACGGGGGGUGCGAGCGUUGUCCGGAAUCACUGGGCGUAAAGGGCGCGUAGGCGGUCUGCUAAGCGUGUGGUGAAAGCUCGGGGCUCAACCCCGAGUCGGCCAUGCGAACUGGUGGACUUGAGCACUGUAGAGGCAGGUGGAAUUCCGGGUGUAGCGGUGGAAUGCGUAGAGAUCCGGAAGAACACCGGUGGCGAAGGCGGCCUGCUGGGCAGUAGCUGACGCUGAGGCGCGACAGCGUGGGGAGCAAACAGGAUUAGAU